AUGAACGCUAGCGGCAGGCUUAACACAUGCAAGUCGAGGGGCAGCGCGGGAUAGCAAUAUCCUGGCGGCGACCGGCGGAAGGGUGCGUAACGCGUGAGCGACAUGCCCGUUGCCCGGGGACAACCGGUGGAAACGCCGACUAAUCCCCGAUGGGAUAUUGUGCCGCAUGGCACGAUAUUGAAAGUUACGGCGGCGACGGAUUGGCUCGCGUCCGAUUAGCUUGUUGGCGGGGUAACGGCCCACCAAGGCUACGAUCGGUAGGGGUUCUGAGAGGAAGGCCCCCCACAAUGGGACUGAGACACGGCCCAUACUCCUACGGGAGGCAGCAGUGAGGAAUAUUGGUCAAUGGGCGGAAGCCUGAACCAGCCAUGCCGCGUGCGGGAAGGAGGCCCUAUGGGCUGUGAACCGCUUUUGCCUGGGGGCAAUAAGGGCGUCGCGCACGUCCGAUGAGAGUACCAGGCGAAUAAGCAUCGGCUAACUCCGUGCCAGCAGCCGCGGUAAUACGGGGGAUGCGAGCGUUAUCCGGAUUCAUUGGGUUUAAAGGGUGCGUAGGCUGUGCGUCAAGUCGGGGGUGAAAUUCCGGUGCUCAACACCGGGGCUGCCCUUGAUACUGUCGCGCUGGAGUGCGGAUGCCGCCGGAGGAAUGAGUGGUGUAGCGGUGAAAUGCUUAGAUAUCACUCAGAACACCGAUUGCGAAGGCAUCUGGCGAAUCCGUAACUGACGCUGAGGCACGAAAGCGUGGGGAUAGAACAGGAUUAGAUACCCUGGUAUUCCACGCCGUAAACGAUGAUGGCUAACCGCCGGCGACACACUGUCGGUGGCCAAGCGAAAGCGAUAAGCCAUCCACCUGGGGAGUACGUCGGCAACGAUGAAACUCAAAGGAAUUGACGGGGGCCCGCACAAGCGGAGGAACAUGUGGUUUAAUUCGAUGAUACGCGAGGAACCUUACCCGGGUUUGAACGUAGUCUGACCGGAGUGGAAACACUCCUUCUAGCAAUAGCAGAUUACGAGGUGCUGCAUGGUUGUCGUCAGCUCGUGCCGUGAGGUGUCGGCUCAAGUGCCAUAACGAGCGCAACCCUUGCCGCCAGUUGCCAUCAGGUCAAGCUGGGCACUCUGGCGGGACUGCCACCGCAAGGUGUGAGGAGGGGGGGGAUGACGUCAAAUCAGCACGGCCCUUACGUCCGGGGCGACACACGUGUUACAAUGGCGGCCACAGAGGGAUGCUACCCCGCGAGGGGAUGCGGAUCUCGAAAAGCCGUCCCAGUUCGGACUGGAGUCUGCAACCCGACUCCACGAAGUUGGAUUCGCUAGUAAUCGCGCAUCAGCCAUGGCGCGGUGAAUACGUUCCCGGGCCUUGUACACACCGCCCGUCAAGCCAUGGAAGCCGCGGGCGCCUGAAGUCCGUGACCGGAAGGAGCGGCCUAGGGCGAAAGUGGUAACUGGGGCU
rnacentral:rRNA from 1 species